rnacentral:rRNA from 1 species
AGUCGAACGAAGCACUUUAUUAUGAUUUCUUCGGAAUGACGAUUUAGUGACUGAGUGGCGGACGGGUGAGUAACGCGUGGGUAACCUGCCUUAUACAGGGGGAUAACAGUUAGAAAUGACUGCUAAUACCGCAUAAGCGCACAGGAUUGCAUGAUCUGGUGUGAAAAACUCCGGUGGUAUAAGAUGGACCCGCGUCUGAUUAGCUGGUUGGUGAGGUAACGGCCCACCAAGGCGACGAUCAGUAGCCGACCUGAGAGGGUGACCGGCCACAUUGGGACUGAGACACGGCCCAAACUCCUACGGGAGGCAGCAGUGGGGAAUAUUGCACAAUGGGGGAAACCCUGAUGCAGCGACGCCGCGUGAGCGAAGAAGUAUUUCGGUAUGUAAAGCUCUAUCAGCAGGGAAGAAAAAAAUGACGGUACCUGACUAAGAAGCCCCGGCUAACUACGUGCCAGCAGCCGCGGUAAUACGUAGGGGGCAAGCGUUAUCCGGAUUUACUGGGUGUAAAGGGAGCGCAGGCGGUGCGGCAAGUCUGAUGUGAAAGCCCGGGGCUCAACCCCGGGACUGCAUUGGAAACUGUCGUACUUGAGUAUCGGAGAGGUAAGUGGAAUUCCUAGUGUAGCGGUGAAAUGCGUAGAUAUUAGGAGGAACACCAGUGGCGAAGGCGGCUUACUGGACGAUAA